CAGUCGCCACGGGAAUACGAAGGGGGCUAGCGUUGUUCGGAUUUACUGGGCGUAAAGGGCGCGUAGGCGGACUGAUAAGUCAGGGGUGAAAUCCCAAGGCUCAACCUUGGAACUGCCUUUGAUACUGUUUGUCUUGAGUUCGAGAGAGGUAAGUGGAACUGCGAGUGUAGAGGUGAAAUUCGUAGAUAUUCGCAAGAACACCAGUGGCGAAGGCGGCUUACUGGCUCGAAACUGACGCUGAGGCGCGAAAGCGUGGGGAGCAAACAGGAUUAGAUACCCCCGUAGCCCUGUCUCUUAUACA
rnacentral:rRNA from 1 species